UGCUUUUAUUCAAAAAAGUAGUUUUAGGUUCUGAAACUCAAUGACAAAAUAUACAAUGUUGGGAAAUGGAAAUUCUCCCUAUCAUGCUUUAACUUGCCAGAAAGAUAUGUGAAUGACAGGUUCCUUUAAUGUCUUUGCCCCAUAAAAUUUACAAGAAUUCCUUGGAAUGCCAUUUUCUCUUGUACUAUGCUUGCUGAUCUCAAUCGCAUUGUAUGACACCGGGAAUUUGCUGAGCGAUUUCACUUACAACUCAUCUUCAGCCAAAGAGUGCAACAUCUAAUUUCAUUGGAUUUGGAUAUAGAGCAGAAAACUGUGGUAGGAU
rnacentral:misc_RNA from 1 species